AGAGUGCCAUCGAGUUCCUUCCCCUAAGGAUCAGACUUCCAGACUCAAGGUCUCUCCUGAGCACACGGCUUCAUAAACCAGCUGCACAAGCAACUGCAUCUGGGGAUCUGCUUCAAGAGAAACUUAACUAAAGCAAGAAUGGGCUCUAACUUCAGGAUACCUAGGAUUCUAACCUCGUUCCAUUACUUACCAACGAUAUGACCUGGGAAAAAUUAUAUACCUGCUGUAAGCCUCAAUGUCCUCAUUUGAAAUACACACAUAAUAGUAGGAUCUCUCUUACAAGGUUGCUGAAAAUAUAAACAGUGGUUAUCAAUGGAAAAAGCUUCUCUCAGUGCUUGGCAAAUAGGAAGCACUUAAUAAGUGUUUUCCGGUAUUUUUAUGAUUAUCAUCAUUACUAUAAUUCCCAAGGCACCCAAAACCCAUGCUAGUCCUCUGGAGACAUGAUUUCUCCAGCUCAAUUCAACUAGGCUGCUGGCUGCUGAGAAUAAUAGAAGAGCUGCAUUUUUAGAGACGGCAGCCAGGAGCUUGUGAUAGAAUGGGGAGAAACAGAAUUCGAAUGAGCAGAAUCAGGAAGUCUGGAUAUUUCUGGAUGUUUU
rnacentral:lncRNA from 1 species